CACACACACACACACUAGCCAGCCACUGCGCUGUAUCAUAUCAUCACUAAUGGCACUGCCCGAAUCUUCUACCGGACCGAAGUUUUAACUUGUAGGCUAAAUGUCCGUGCCAAGUUACGAUUCCAACGGAUCGUUGCUGUAGCCUACAGAAAACGUCAUCAUGGUUGUCAAAAAGUUAUAAGUUAAAGGGUUCACACGCAGUUUCCCGUAUCAAGAAUGAUCCACCACCCAAAGGACAUUCAGCCGACUCGACACAACUGUGGGAAGCAUUGGAGUCAACGUAGGCCAGCAUCCCCCCCCCCGUUAAACGCUUUAGACACUUGUCAUUUUGAGAUAUAUUCUUUGGUUGUCUAAAUUGUCUACAGGAAAUGUAAACCGACUUUGUGUAAAUACUAUAUACACGGCUCAAAAAAAAUAAAGGGAACACUUAAACAACACAAUGUAACUCCAAGUCAAUCACACUUCUGUGAAAUGAAUAUUUCAUUCAUUCAGAUCUAGGAUGUGUUAUUUUAGUGUUCCCUUUAUUUUUUUGAGCAG
ensembl:lncRNA